rnacentral:rRNA from 1 species
UACGUAGGGGGCUAGCGUUGUUCGGAUUUACUGGGCGUAAAGGGCGCGUAGGCGGCCUGUGCAAGUCAGUUGUGAAAUCUCCGGGCUUAACUCGGAACGGUCAACUGAUACUGCUCGGCUAGAGUGCGGAAGGGGCUACUGGAAUUCUUGGUGUAGCGGUGAAAUGCGCAGAUAUCAGGAGGAACACCGGUGGCGAAGGCGGGUCUCUAGGCCGACACUGACGCUGAGGAGCGAAAGCGUGGGGAGCGAACAGG